rnacentral:rRNA from 1 species
CCUACGGGAGGCAGCAGUAAGGAAUAUUGGUCAAUGGACGCAAGUCUGAACCAGCUAUGCCGCGUGAAGGAUUAAGGUCCUCUGGAUUGUAAACUUCUUUUAUCUGGGACGAAAAAAGGUCUUUCUAGACCCCUUGACGGUACCAGAUGAAUAAGCACCGGCUAACUCCGUGCCAGCAGCCGCGGUAAUACGGAGGGUGCAAGCGUUAUCCGGAUUCACUGGGUUUAAAGGGUGCGUAGGCGGGCAGGUAAGUCAGUGGUGAAAUCCUGGAGCUCAACUCCAGAACUGCCAUUGAUACUAUCUGUCUUGAAUAUUGUGGAGGUAUGCGGAAUAUGUCAUGUAGCGGUGAAAUGCUUAGAUAUGACAUAGAACACCCAUUGCGAAGGCAGCUUACUACGCAUAUAUUGACGCUGAGGCACGAAAGCGUGGGGAUCAAACAGGAUUAGAUACCCUGGUAGUCCACGCCCUAAACGAUGGAUACUCGACAUACGCGAUACACUGUGUGUGUCUGAGCGAAAGCAUUAAGUAUCCCACCUGGGAAGUACGUUCGCAAGAAUGAAACUCAAAUGAAUUGACGG